AUAGGCCACGCCUACUGGAUACAAACGCAGCGCGGGAGUCAGAUGAGGUCAGGAACGUAUGGCCGUCCCGUUGCUAGAACACGGCAGCGCCAAACAUUUCACUGACUACUGCUUCCUCAACUUGGGCCAAUAUAGAGCUGGACUUGCUCAACGUCUGAAAAUCAAAUCUGGAUCAGUACCAACUCUCCUCGGCUCAGCUACAAACCUCGAAAAGGCCAGCUCAUCAAGUGCUUACAUUCAGCAGCUUCUCUCAAGGGAUGUUGCCUGCCAGACAGAAAACCUGGAAACGCAUAUUUGUAGGCACAAAGCUAUCCUUAAAGUCUAUGCAGCCCCAUUUUAAAAGUGAAGACUGUGAUGCCUUUAGAGACCGUAGCACGCAGCGCGGCGCCACCUCAGAGAGUCUGGGUGUGGACGGCCCUGGCUCCUCCCACAUGUCCAGUCACAGCGAGGAACUGAAGAUUCUGAGGGUCUACGGUAAAGGGGAGGGCCCACUGGCGGUGGACGGCCAUGACACCCUCUUCACCGCGUCUGAAGUGGAGGCCCUGAACUCGCUGUCUGCGGACCACAGCGC